UUACCCCGCUUUGACAUCACAUAAACUUAAGAAGAAAGAGAGGGUUCCUUGGGAGAAAGAGAACAGGCGCACCGGUGCUGCAUGUCUGUCGUCACCUUGGGUGGUGGGGUGUUGGCCUCAACCAAGCCCCCCCCCCAACCUUUUUCAUUACUACAUUUAGUUGGGCACUCUAAUGAGACUGCCGGUGACAAACCGGAGGAAGGUGGGGAUGACGUCAAGUCCUCAUGGCCCUUAUAGGUGGGGCUACACACGUCAUACAAUGGCCGGUACAAAGGGUUGCCAACCCGCGAGGGGGAGCCAAUCCCAUAAACCCGGUCGUAGUCCGGAUGGCAGUCUGCAACUGGACUCCGUGAAGUCGGAAUCGCUAGUAA
rnacentral:rRNA from 1 species